UUACAAAUCCCUUCCUUAUUCAACUUUGUCAUGCUCUGCCAGGCUCUGUUUUGAGAGUUGAGGAAAGAACACAUUAGUAAUUGAAACAAAAUAAUAAUCAUAGUAACAGUAAUAAUUGUAAUUGAAAGAAUAGAGAGGAAUAAAGCCCAAGAGAAACAAAUGGUGCGCUGCACAGUUGCUCAUCCCUCACUGGCUUGGCCUGUUGAGUCAGCCAUCCUGGCCAUUCUCCCUCCUAGUGUCUUGUAUAUCUACUUGCUGGCAGAGCUUGGGAAACAAAAGUCCUUGAUUUAAGGGUAAGUAACAACUAAAACAUCAUUCUCAUACUGAACCCAAAACACAGCACCGUUUUGGUUACUAGAAGGAAAAUUAUUCUGGCCAAAAUCAGGACAGUCACGAGUAUCGAUCUAUAUAGUGAUACUGGCUAUAAUUUUUUGUUUCCUUUUGCUAUUUAUCUAGUAACUGUUGAUUUCUUGUCUUUUCUGAACGUUGAAAAUUUAAAUAUUCACAAAUUGCAGAAGCUGUUAUCCGUAAAUGCACCUUUUAAACUUUUCUCUUUUUCUUCAGUGGUUCUUCCAAUCUGCUUUUCCUGCUUUACAAAGAGUUGCUACAAAAAGAAAAUCUUAUUUUGACAGAUGGGUUCUGCAGUUUUGUUAAAUGGCUCAGUUUUUGCCUUACUAUAACACAUACGUCAGUAUAAACAACAAGUUAUUUCUUGUUUUGUUGUAUUCAAGAUCGUACUCCGUAAUGGCAGCUUCUGGAAAUUCUGUUGAACUACAUAAAACAGCAGUUUUGUAAAACACUUCAAGGUCUUCUGUGUGUUACAGAAUGAUGAUAGUCUGUUUGCUAAGCAAGGACCACUAGAAAAACAGUCUUAUUUAUUCAGACUUCGACAACAAUUUGGGCUUCAUUUUGCACUGUUUUCUUCCAAACCAACUAAUUCUAGCUCAUAUAUUUAGGAAUUAAAUUUCAGUCAGGUUAAACUGAAGUGGCAGUGAUCUUCAGGUUGUAAUGUUACAUUUUGAAAUUCAUAUUGCUCAAAAGUUAUACCUUUUGUCUUAAUAUUGCUCUUCAUUCAAUUGAGUUAUUUUCCUGACUGAAAAAAGUAAACUGAUAUAGUUUUACCAAAUGCAGUGUGUUUUCAUUGUUAUCAAGCAUAUAAAAAUUAAAAAGAAAUUGAAAGGGCACUUUUUUUUCCUACUUUAGCCUUGCCUUUCCCACUAAACUGAAGCAUAAAUUUUUUUUUUUUGUUUGUACAGUUCAUAUUUGGUUGGUAAUAUAGACUGUCACAUACAGUGAAUCUGUUAGAUCAUUUUAAGACCGUUUUUUUUAAUCUCCUUUGAGUUUAUAAUUUUUGAGUUUUAAUGAUACUGAAUUUCUUGGUCCUGUAGAGAAAGGCGUAAAAGGAAGAGCAGAAGUCCCUCCAAAUCUCCUAAAACAUCAAAAACAGCAAAAAGAAAGUCUUCACGAACUCCUUCUCCAAGAAGAAACAAGAAAGAAAAGAAAAGAGAAAGAGAUACAAAUAAUGAAAGAAGAGAAAGAGAACGCUCCACUUCCAAGAAAAAAAGUAGUAAAGAAAAAGAGGGAAAGGAGAAAUCUGACAAAAGCACCACUACUUUAAAGGACAAAGAUAACAAUAAAGAAGAUCAGAGUUCAGAAACUGACAAGGAAGUAGACAAUAGAGAUACACAAAGGACAGAUGAAGUCAAGCUACAACAGAACGGGAACUGUCAACCAAAUGAAGAAAAUCUCUCAAUUAAAAUGGAAGAGGUUUAAAGCAAAGAAUGGACUUGUAAUUCAACUAAGAAAUUAAAUCCAAAGUAUUUUAUUUCCCAAAAUGAGGAAGAAAAUGUCAAAGCAAUCAACCUGAAUGUGUUGAUAGUACUAGUAGCUCCUCAAAUUCUUGUGAUAGCUUUGUUGUCUUCUUGCUGUAAAGCAAGAGAGCACAGACCAGUAGUUAAUACCAUGAAAAGGCAGAUGCCAUCAGAACUAUUCAUCUCUGAAAAUCCAUGCAUUUCCAUGAUGGCUGUACUUGUAAAAUGAUUUGUGUUAAGUUUUGCUAUAAGCUGUUACAAAUAACUAGAAACUGAAAGAUGUAAACCUGUACUUCCCAAAAAAAGCUGAAGAUAUGCAUUGAAGGUUGUUUAUCAUAAUGCUUGUUGAUGACUUUUGUAUUGUUUUGCCCUGUAGGUUAAAAGAUCCGCAAAAACUUCAAUGUGUGCUGUUUGAUGUGCUUGAAAAUGGUGCAUAAAUAUACACACUUUCUUUCCUUGUAAAUGACAACUGUAGGGAAAGGGGAUUUAAACAUAAACACGGUUGUACUGUUCUUAUGUUAAAUACUCACAGAUUAGUAUGUUUUUCAUUUGCUCACUGCUUGAGAUUCUUAGGGUUUAUUAUUUAAAAUAAUUUCCUACUAAUAUCCCUCAAAUUAAUAUUUCUUUUAAAGUAUUUGAAUAAUGCAUGCGCUUUUUCUGUUCCUGAAAGGAACAUUGCCAUAUUAUAGAUGUUAGGUUAGCUUACAGGGUUAUUUUGGAGUUGUUUUGUUUUGUUUUCUUUGUCCUUAGAAAAGUGAGCACGUCUAUAUAAUGAUACCAGAACUUACAGCUUUGUUUUGCAAUGUACUGCAGUGUGUCUGUUCAGCUGAAAAUAGUACAGGUGCCAUUAAGAAAAUAAAUUUUUCCUUUUUGUUAAAAAAAAUGGGAGCACAAGCAGAAGCUUUAGUGCCUUCUUAAAAUGCGGUAUUUUCUAGAAGUGUAUGUGUGCUGUUAACACAUUUUCAGCUAAAUCUUAUAUGAUCUCUCUUGCUACUUUGCCACCACCAUACUGUAGACAAAAAUGCAAGUGACUUGCCAGAAUGGUUGUUUGAUUCACUUUUAAAAUAGUGAAGCUCCAUUUUGCUUUUAUUUUUUAUUCUUAGAAGAGAUUUAUAAAUAAGAGAAAAGAUGUAAUUUGGGGACCACCACUGUACGAAGUAGUAGCUGAAUACAGAGUGUGCUCUGAUCACCUGCAUCAAAGAAAGCCCUUAAGACAUUUAAUAUACAUUUGGAUGGCCUUAAUUGUUACCUCUCUGUUAUUUUCUCUGAUACCUGUUGGGCAAUAUAAUAGGUAUGGCAUGCAAAGAAAUGGGGGAUAAAUAAUUUGAGGAAGAAGGUUCUAAUUUACGUAGGGCUUACAUAGUAGAUAUUCUUUUUUGAUUUUUUUGAGGGGAAAGCAUUCAAGAAGAGAACGACAGAAGUGUUUUUGUCAUAGUAAAACAUGGUUUUUAUUCUCUGAAGUAGUUUAAUUGGUUACAUGAGAUUUCUGAUAAGUUACACUUUUAAGAUAUAUCUCAAAUCGCGUAGAUUAUUUUUACUACAGUUUAAUGCAAUCAAAUUACUUUAUUGCCUUACCUCACAGGAAGUGUUAUUUCUUUCAGUUAAAAUAAAAAACUAAGUGUAUUGGCUAUUUGCUUUCUACUUGUUUUACUUUUCCUCUGCAUAGUUAAUUUUUUCAGUGGAAGGGAAACAUUACAGGGAAUGAAAACUUUGCCCAACUCCUAAGGUAAUGAAAUUCAAUUUGAUUGUGAAGCUGCUUAAUCACUCAUUUUCUAUAAGGUUUAAUCUUCUUGCCACUGUGUACAUUUAAGACAACAGAAAAUGCUUUACCGUGUAAAGUAUAGAACAGCCAUUUUUGUGAUGUUUAAGCCACAUGCUGUUGGCUGGUAAACGGCUAAUUCUGAUAAAAUAAAAAAUCUAUAUGCUUACAGGAAGACUGUGAAAGAUUGUGUCUUGCAACAACAGCUGUCUUAUUUAUGAUGUGUAAGUAGCAUAGAGCAAAGAGAUUGUUUGUAUACUUGUUAUCUUUGGUACCAUUUCACUAAUAAAAUAAGUAUUUUAGAGGGA